rnacentral:rRNA from 1 species
AGAGUUUGAUCCUGGCUCAGGACGAACGCUGGCGGCGUGCCUAAUACAUGCAAGUCGAGCGGACGUUUUUGAAGCUUGCUUCAAAAACGUUAGCGGCGGACGGGUGAGUAACACGUGGGCAACCUACCUUAUCGACUGGGAUAACUCCGGGAAACCGGGGCUAAUACCGGAUAAUAUCUAGCACCUCCUGGUGCCGGAUUAAAAGAGGGCUUCUUGCUCUCACGAUGAGAUGGGCCCGCGGCGCAUUAGCUAGUUGGAGAGGUAACGGCUCCCCAAGGCGACGAUGCGUAGCCGACCUGAGAGGGUGAUCGGCCACACUGGGACUGAGACACGGCCCAGACUCCUACGGGAGGCAGCAGUAGGGAAUCUUCCGCAAUGGACGAAAGUCUGACGGAGCAACGCCGCGUGAGUGAUGAAGGGUUUCGGCUCGUAAAGCUCUGUUAUGAGGGAAGAACACGUACCGUUCGAAUAGGGCGGUACCUUGACGGUACCUCAUCAGAAAGCCACGGCUAACUACGUGCCAGCAGCCGCGGUAAUACGUAGGUGGCAAGCGUUGUCCGGAAUUAUUGGGCGUAAAGCGCGCGCAGGCGGCCUUUCAAGUCUGAUGUGAAAUCUUGCGGCUCAACCGCAAGCGGCCAUUGGGAAACUGGGAGGCUUGAGUACAGAAGAGGAGAGUGGAAUUCC